GAAAGCAGGCUGAGCAAGCUGUGGGGAGCAAGCCAGUAAGCUGCUCCUCCGUGGUCUCUGCUUCAGUUCCUGCCCUGACUUUCCUUCGUGGUAGACUAUAAGCGCAAAGAGCCAAAGAAGAACUUCUGUGGUCCAGGAGCAUCUACCUGGUAACCGAGUGGUAACGUCAUAGAGUCCAGCACAUUCGUUGUCGACUACCGCAUCUGGGUGAUGGCCAAGGCAAGGGAAGAGCAAGACAUAACUGAUGAUGGUUGCGGAGCUGGCAGCCAUCAGCCAUUUGCAAGCCUUUGUUCAUCGGGUUCAAUGGAGAGUCACCAUGGGGCAGCUUCCAGGAUGCUGACGCUGGAGAGCAGUCGGCAUCAACGCAGACAAGUGUCGUGUUCUUGGGUACAGGCAUUUAACUGGAAAUGCAAAGUGUCUCCUACCCCAGUCUGAGUGUGACACACCAUGGUCCAUGGUCAAACCAUGAACUCCGAGGUGAUGCAGAAGCAGAGUCAGUCUUAUGCGAUUUGUAGAUGUGUCUACAAUAGUUUACAGAUGUAUAUGUAUGACUUCACUUGUAUAAUGCUUCUUUAGCCCUAUGUUAUCGCCAUCUUUUCCUAAUGUUUAAUAAUUCUUUGACAGUUCUGCACAAUGUAUUUAUUCAGCUAUCUCCCAGCUCCUCCCAGUUACAUCCAACAAAUAAACACAUAAAUACACACAAA